rnacentral:lncRNA from 1 species
CCCUCCCCUUCUUUUCUUGGUUGUCUUUUUAUUGCGACGAGCGACAGCAAGCCACCAGAUUUGAACUAAAUAGGGGCAUCCCUAUUUUAUUUUAUUUUUUCCCGCAUGCCAUCGGCAACAGCUGCCAUUAGGUCUGUUGUCGGGGCUAUGUGUUCACAACCAUCAGGAACCACCAUGGUGGCUAGCAUCGGCCCUCCUUGGCUACAUGUAGGGGGAGAGGAGAAG